rnacentral:rRNA from 1 species
AUACGGAGGGUGCGAGCGUUAAUCGGAAUUACUGGGCGUAAAGCGCGCGUAGGCGGAUAAUUAAGUCAGAUGUGAAAUCCCCGGGCUCAACCUGGGAACUGCAUUUGAUACUGAUUAACUAGAGUAUGGUAGAGGUGAGUGGAUUUUCCGGUGUAGCGGUGAAAUGCGUAGAGAUCGGAAGGAACACCAGUGGCGAAGGCGACUCACUGGGCCAUUACUGGCGCUGAGGUGCGAAAGCGUGGGUAGCAAACAGGAUUAGAAACCCUUGUAGUCC